AAAAAAAUAGGCAAAGAGGGGUUCAGAGCCUCAAAAAUGGAGAGCAGCAGAAACUCACCAAGAGAAACAAUAAGAAGCACAUUUUAUAAAAGGAAUUGACAACGGUUGUGAAGAGAGCUUCAAACAAAUACUUAGAAGCAGGCGUGUAAAAAUUGAGUAGAGCCACUGCGCCCGGCCACAUGGGCAUUUUUUAAAUGCCUAUUAGGGGCGAGUGAAGCUGGUUCUGGAGAAGGGAUCUCUGGGAAAUAGUGAAUUAUAUACCUUAGACAAAGAGGCUGGAGAACAGUGAACCAACUAUGAAGUGAGAGAAAAAUGCCAUGAACUCCCAAUCUGCUAUAAAGAAACAUACAUCUGGCCUGGUGUGGGGCCCAUGUGUGUCAUCCCAGCACUUGGGAGGUCAAGGCCGGAGGAUGGCUUGAGCCCAGGAGUUUGAGACCAGCUUCGGCAACAUCAGGAGAUCCCAUCUCUACAAAUAACUUUUUAAAAAAUUAGCUGGGCAUAGUGGUGCGCACCUGUGGUCCCAGCUGCUUGGCAGACUGAGGAAGGAGGAUCACCUGAGCCCAGGAGUUGAGGCUGCAAUAAGCCCUGAUGCAGCACUGCACUCCAGCCUGGGCAACAGAGCCAAGACCCUGUCUCAAAAAAAAAAAAACCCACAGGAGAAACAGAUGUCUAAAUUCAGUAGCAAAGGUUGCAGCAAACUUGAAGUCCUAAGUUAGGGUAAAGAGAUGAAGAGGAAAUGACAAGAAUUUCUUGGAAAGCAACUUAGAGACCCAUCUGGGGCUUCAGUGUUACUAAUUCUGAAAGAAAGCAAACGAAAAAGUGGAAGACUGCAGCAGAUCUAAAGAACUAACAGGACAGAAUACUCCACCCAUUCAGGUAGAAAAAGACAAAACAAGACCCCAUUAUUCAGAAGAAAAUAGCUGCAGCAGGAAUGAAAUGUACAGAUAGUCCCUGACUUGGCAGUGGUUUGACUUAGGAUUUCUUG
rnacentral:lncRNA from 10 species